AUUGAACGCUGGCGGCAGGCCUAACACAUGCAAGUCGAGCGGAGCGGCGGUCGGGGGAGUAAUGCCUAGGAAUCUGACUGGUAGUGGGGGAUAACGUCCGGAACCGGGCGCUAAUACCACAUACUAUCAGAUGAGCCUAGGUCGGAUUAGCUAGUUGGUGGGGUAAAGGCCUACCAAGGCGACGAUCCGUGACUGUUCUGAGAGGAUGAUCAGCCACACUGGAACUGAGACACGGUCCAGACGCCUACGGGAGGCAGCAGUGGGGAAUAUUGGACAAUGGGCGAAAGCCUGAUGCAGCCAUGCCGCGUGUGUGAAGAAGGUCUUCGGAUUGUAAAGUACUUUAAGUUGGGAGGCGUUACCAACAGAAGAAGCACCGGCUAACUCCGUGCCAGCAGCCGCGGUAAUAC
rnacentral:rRNA from 1 species